rnacentral:rRNA from 1 species
GGGGAAUUUUCCGCAAUGGGCGAAAGCCUGACGGAGCAAUACCGCGUGAGGGAGGAAGGCUUUUGGGUUGUAAACCUCUUUUCUCAAGGAAGAAAAAAAUGACGGUACUUGAGGAAUAAGCAUCGGCUAACUCCGUGCCAGCAGCCGCGGUAAUACGGAGGAUGCAAGCGUUAUUCGGAAUUAUUGGGCGUAAAGCGUCCGCAGGUGGAAUUUCAAGUCUGCUGUCAAAGACCGAAGCUUAACUUCGGGCAGGCAGUGGAAACUGAAAAACUAGAGUACGGUAGGGGUAGAGGGAAUUUCCAGUGUAGCGGUGAAAUGCGUAGAGAUUGGAAAGAACACCAGUGGCGAAGGCGCUCUACUGGGCCUGUACUGACACUAAGGGACGAAAGCUAGGGUAGCGAAUGGGAUUAGAUACCCCAGUAGUCA